rnacentral:misc_RNA from 1 species
GAUGAAGAACGUAGCGAAAUGCGAUAAGUAAUGUGAAUUGCAGAAUUCAGUGAAUCAUCGAAUCUUUGAACGCACAUUGCGCCCGCCAGUAUUCUGGCGGGCAUGCCUGUUCGAGCGUCAUUACAACCCUCAGGCCCCCGGGCCUGGCGUUGGGGAUCGGCGGAAGCCCCCUGCGGGCACAACGCCGUCCUCCAAAUACAGUGGCGGUCCCGCCGCAGCUUCCAUUGCGUAGUAGCUAACACCUCGCAACUGGAGAGCGGCGCGGCCACGCCGUAAAACACCCAACUUCUGAAUGUUGACCUCGAAUCAGGUAGGAAUACCCGCUGAACUUAAGCAUAUCAAUAAGGGGAGGA